UUCUGUUGCUUUACAAUUUGCUCCAGACUAAACCAGUAAAGCAUUAGCCUACACACUUGAUAGUAUGUUUCAGUAAAUAUCUAAUCGUAUAUCUGUUAUGCUGUGCAUAUGCUCCUUUCUACCACCAUUGUUUCAAACCCACUGGAUACUUAGACUCACAGCAGCAUCACGGGACGGAGAGCCGGAGAGCCCAUAAUAGAGGAAGCUAUCGUAGCUUAUUAGCCGUGUGUCACCAUUCACUUUAAUGUAACCUCCUUGGUCAGAGUAUUAACUUCCCCACGACAGAGAUAUGCAGACAAUUAUGAGACAGGAGUCGAUGGUACAAAUACGUCUUUUCAGUUUAUUCAAACUGUGUGAACUUGUUAUCUCGUUAGCAACCAGAGCCUGAGCUGCAGUGUGUGCUGGAACAGAAGCAGAGGGAGCUGGCCCUCCGUCCUCCCUCUGACCUGGAGGUGAAACGCCGCACGAGGCAGCAGAGAACACAAGUUUACAAGCUGGAGGACAAGAGGAGUGAGAGCCUGCAGAAUGUACCAGAGUUUGUUCGCGUACCAAACAUUUUUUUCUAGUGACGACCAGAGAAAAUGGACAAAUUAACAGCGUUAACGUCCAGAGAAGUUCCUACUGUAUGUUACUGUCAGUUAAAAGGAUCAUCCUUGAUUGACAACUGCAUAUAUUUCAGAUUGGAAUAAUCAAAAUUCAUCAGUCUUAAUUUGAGGAUAAUGUUUAAGCAUAAUGGAUCAU